UACAGAGGUCUCAAGCGUUGUUCGGAUUCAUUGGGCGUAAAGGGUGCGUAGGUGGCGUGGUAAGUCGGGUGUGAAAUUUCGGAGCUUAACUCCGAAACUGCAUUCGAUACUGCUGUGCUUGAGGACUGGAGAGGAGACUGGAAUUUACGGUGUAGCAGUGAAAUGCGUAGAGAUCGUAAGGAAGACCAGUGGCGAAGGCGGGUCCCUGGACAGUUCCUGACACUGAGGCACGAAGGCCAGGGGAGCAAACGGG
rnacentral:rRNA from 1 species